AUUGAACGCUGGCGGAAUGCUUUACACAUGCAAGUCGAGCGGCAGCGCGGGGCAACCUGGCGGCGAGCGGCGAACGGGUGAGUAAUGCAUCGGAACGUACCCAGUCGUGGGGGAUAGCCCGGCGAAAGCCGGAUUAAUACCGCAUACGUCCUGAGGGAGAAAGCGGGGGACCGCAAGGCCUCGCGCGAUUGGAGCGGCCGAUGUCGGAUUAGCUAGUUGGUAGGGUAAAGGCCUACCAAGGCGACGAUCCGUAGCUGGUCUGAGAGGAUGAUCAGCCACACUGGGACUGAGACACGGCCCAGACUCCUACGGGUGGCAG
rnacentral:rRNA from 1 species